GACGUAGGUGGCGAACGUUUAUCCGGAAUUAUUGGGCGUAAAGGGUGCGUAGGUGGUCAGAUAAGUUAUCAGUGGCAAAUCGAGGCUCAACCUCGUGGAAACUGGUAAUACUGUCCGGCUUGAGUACAGGAGAGGUUAACGGAACUCUAUGUGGAGCGGUAAAAUGCACAGAUAUAUAGAAGAACAUCAAUAACGGCGAAGGCAGUUAACUAUUCUGUUACUGACACUGGAGGCACGAAAGCGUGGGGAGCAAAACGG
rnacentral:rRNA from 1 species